rnacentral:rRNA from 1 species
AUUGAACGCUGGCGGCAUGCCUUACACAUGCAAGUCGAACGGCAGCACGGGUUCUUGCACCUGGUGGCGAGUGGCGAACGGGUGAGUAAUAUAUCGGAACGUACCUUAUUGUGGGGGAUAACGCAGCGAAAGCUGUGCUAAUACCGCAUAAUCCCUAAGGGGGAAAGCGGGGGACCGUAAGGCCUCGCGCAAUUAGAGCGGCCGAUACCUGAUUAGCUAGUUGGUGAGGUAAAGGCUCACCAAGGCAACGAUCAGUAGCUGGUCUGAGAGGACGAUCAGCCACACGGGGACUGGGACACGGCCCAGACUCCUACGGGAGGCAGAAGUGGGGAAUUUUGGACAAUGGGGGCAACCCUGAUCCAGCAAUGCCGCGUGAGUGAAGAAGGCCUUCGGGUUGUAAAGCUCUUUUGUCAGGGAAGAAACAGCAGCUCUAACACAGUUUGCGAAUGACGGUACCUGAAGAAUAAGCACCGGCUAACUACGUGCCAGCCGCCGCAGUAA